AUUGAACGCUGGCGGCAGGCCUAACACAUGCAAGUCGAGCGGAUGAAGGGAGCUUGCUCCUGGAUUCAGCGGCGGACGGGUGAGUAAUGCCUAGGAAUCUGCCUGGUAGUGGGGGAUAACGUCCGGAAACGGGCGCUAAUACCGCAUACGUCCUGAGGGAGAAAGUGGGGGAUCUUCGGACCUCACGCUAUCAGAUGAGCCUAGGUCGGAUUAGCUAGUUGGUGGGGUAAAGGCCUACCAAGGCGACGAUCCGUAACUGGUCUGAGAGGAUGAUCAGUCACACUGGAACUGAGACACGGUCCAGACUCCUACGGGAGGCAGCAGUGGGGAAUAUUGGACGAUGGGCGAAAGCCUGAUCCAGCCAUGCCGCGUGUGUGAAGCAGGUCUUCGGAUUGUAAAGCACUUUAAGUUGGGAGGAAGGGCAGUAAGUUAAUACCUUGCUGUUUUGACGUUACCAACAGAAUAAGCACCGGCUAACUUCGUG
rnacentral:rRNA from 1 species